rnacentral:rRNA from 1 species
GGAAUUGUUCGCAAUGGGCGCAAGCCUGACGACGCAACGCCGCGUGGAGGAUGAAGGUCUUCGGAUUGUAAACUCCUGUUGCCCGGGACGAAUGGCUUCGACCUAAGACGUCGAAGCGUGACGGUACCGGGGGAGGACGCCCCGGCCAACUCUGUGCCAGCAGCCGCGGUAAUACAGAGGGGGCAAGCGUUGUUCGGAAUUACUGGGCGUAAAGGGCGCGUAGGCGGCACGUUAAGUCGAACGUGAAAUCCCCGGGCUCAACCCGGGAACUGCGUCCGAGACUGGCGGGCUCGAAUCCGGGAGAGGGAUGUGGAAUUCCAGGUGUAGCGGUGAAAUGCGUAGAUAUCUGGAGGAACAUCGGUGGCGAAGGCGGCAUCCUGGACCGGUAUUGACGCUGAGGCGCGAAAGCGUGGGGAGCA